rnacentral:rRNA from 1 species
AACGAACGCUGGCGGCAGGCCUAACACAUGCAAGUCGAACGCCCUAGCAAUAGGGAGUGGCAGACGGGUGAGUAACGCGUGGGAGUAUCCCCCUCAGUACGGAAUAGCCCAGGGAAACUUGGAGUAAUACCGUAUACGUCCGUGAGGAGAAAGAUUUAUCGCUGAGGGAUUAGCCCGCGUAGGAUUAGCUAGUUGGUGAGGUAAUGGCUCACCAAGGCGACGAUCCUUAGCUGGUCUGAGAGGACGAUCAGCCACACUGGGACUGAGACACGGCCCAGACUCCUACGGGAGGCAGCAGUGGGGAAUAUUGGACAAUGGGCGCAAGCCUGAUCCAGCCAUGCCGCGUGAGUGACGAAGGCCUUAGGGUUGUAAAGCUCUUUUGGCGGGGACGAUAAUGACGGUACUCGCAGAAUAAGCCCCGGCUAACUUCGUGCCAGCCGCCGCAGUAACAC